AUUGAACGCUGGCGGCAGGCCUAACACAUGCAAGUCGAGCGGUAACACAGGGAGCUUGCUCCCGGGUGACGAGCGGCGGACGGGUGAGUAAUGUCUGGGAAACUGCCUGAUGGAGGGGGAUAACUACUGGAAACGGUAGCUAAUACCGCAUAACGUCGCAAGACCAACGAGGGGGACCUUCGGGCCUCUUGCCAUCAGAUGUGCCCAGAUGGGAUUAGCUAGUAGGUGGGGUAAUGGCUCACCUAGGCGACGAUCCCUAGCUGGUCUGAGAGGAUGACCAGCCACACUGGAACUGAGACACGGUCCAGACUCCUACGGGAGGCAGCAGUGGGGAAUAUUGCACAAUGGGCGCAAGCCUGAUGCAGCCAUGCCGCGUGUAUGAAGAAGGCCUUCGGGUUGUAAAGUACUUUCAGCGGGGAGGAAGGUGUUGAGGUUAAUAACCUCAGCAAUUGACGUUACCCGCAGAAGAAGCACCGGCUAACUCCGUGCCAGCCGCCGCCGUAA
rnacentral:rRNA from 1 species